GAUGAACGCUGGCGGCGUGCCUAAUACAUGCAAGUCGAGCGCACAGACGAGGAGCUUUCUCCUUUGACGUUAGCGGCGGACGGGUGAGUAACAUGUGGAUAACCUACCUAUACGACUUGGAUAUCUUUGGGAAACCGGAGCUAAUACCGGAUAAUAUAUUGAACCGCAUGGUUCAAUAGUGAAAGACGGUUUUGCUGUCACUUAUAGAUGGAUCCGCGCUGCAUUAGCUAGUUGGUAAGGUAACGGCUUACCAAGGCAACGAUGCGUAGCCGACCUGUGAGGGUGAUCGGCCACACUGGAACGAGGACACGAUCCAGACUCCUACGGGAGGCAGCAGUAGGGAAUCUGACGCAAUAGGCGAGAGCAUGACGGAGCAACGCCGCGUGAGUGAUGAAGAUCUUCGGAUCGUAAAACUCUGUUAUUAGGGAAAAACAAAUGUGUAAGUUACUAUGCACGUCUUGACGGUACCUGAUCAGAAAGCCACGGCUAACUACGUG
rnacentral:rRNA from 1 species